AGCGAACGCUGGCGGCAGGCCUAACACAUGCAAGUCGAACGAACCCUUCGGGGUUAGUGGCGGACGGGUGAGUAACACGUGGGAACGUGCCUUUAGGUUCGGAAUGACUCAGGGAAACUUGCGCUAAUACCGAAUGUGCCCUUCGGGGGAAAGAUUUAUCGCCUUUAUAGCGGCCCGCGUCUGAUUAGCUAGUUGGUGAGGUAAUGGCUCCCCAAGGCUACGAUCAGUAGCUGGUCUGAGAGGAUGACCAGCCACAUUGGGACUGAGACACGGCCCAAACUCCUACGGGAGGCAGCAGUGGGGAAUCUUGCGCAAUGGGCGAAAGCCUGACGCAGCCAUGCCGCGUGGAUGAUGAAGGUCUUAGGAUUGUAAAAUCCUUUCACCGGUGAAGAUAAUGACUGUAGCCGGAGAAGAAGCCCCGGCUAACUUCGUGCCAGCCGCCGCAGUAAGAC
rnacentral:rRNA from 1 species